AGUGAACGCUGGCGGCGUGCCUAAUACAUGCAAGUCGAACGGAGUGGCGCACGGGUGAGUAAUGUAUAGCUAAUCUGCCCUACACUAGAGGAAAACAGUUGGAAACGACUGCUAAUACUCUAUAGUGUAGGAUGCGGCUAUAUUGUAUCAGCUAGUUGGUGAGGUAAUGGUUCACCAAGGCUAUGACGCAUAACUGGUCUGAGCGGAUGAACAGUCACACUGGAACUGACACACUGUGCAGACUACUGCAAGAGGCAGCCGUACGGAACAAUACUAAAUGUGCGAGACCCUGAACCAGAAACUCAGCGUGGAUGAUAACACUGUUCAGUACGUAAACACCUUUUGUUACAAAAGCGAUACCUAACGCAGAAGCACCGGCUGACUCCGAGCCAGCAGACGCGGAAAUAC
rnacentral:rRNA from 1 species